CAGUCGCCGCGGUAAAACCAGCACCUCGAGUGGUCAGGAGGUUUAUUGGGCCUAAAGCAUCCGUAGCCGGUUGCAUAAGUUUUCGGUUAAAUCUAUGCGCUUAACGUAUAGGCCGCCGAAAAUACUGUGCAGCUAGGGAGUGGGAGAGGUACACGGUACUCGAUAGGAAGGGGUAAAAUCCUUUGAUCUAUUGAUGACCACCUGUGGCGAAGGCGGUGUACCAGAACACGUUCGACGGUGAGGGAUGAGAGCUGGGGGAGCAAACAGGAUUAGAUACCCGCGUAGUCCCUGUCUCUUAUAC
rnacentral:rRNA from 1 species